AGUGGCCUAGUUGUUCAAACAUCCGGCUGGGUAUCUUGAGGAUGCGGGUUCAAAUCCC
rnacentral:tRNA from 1 species